GCAGUCGGUGGUGGUGCCCAGGUGCCGGGGGACAGCUGAGGCGCUUCAGAUCACAGUGGGCCACAUCCUGGGAGAUGCCGGCAGCCCCUACCUCACGGGACUUAUCUCCAGUGCCCUGCGGGCGGGGCGCCCCGACACUUACCUGCAGCGCUUCCUCAGCCUUCAGCAGAGCUUCCUGUGCUGCGCCUUCGUCAUUGCCCUGGGCGGCGGCUGCUUCCUGCUGACUGCGCUGUACCUGGAGAGAGACCAGGCCCAGGUCCAGCAGUCUGGCACAGGGAUCCUUGAGAGCGAGAGCCAACGCCUGAUUUCUGGCAGGGGUGCCUCCCCAGAGGGCCCCUGAGGCCCUGCCUGGCAGCGAGGAGGUCCCACCUGCCCUGUCCAUACCUGUCUGGGUGACCUCCACCGGAUCAGUGCUUCUGCCCACCUUUGACUGUGGCUCCAGGACCCUGGCCGAGCUGCACCUGCUGUUUCUUUGCUCCCAGCUGAAGAGCUGGCAGCGCCUGUGGCUGGGCUGGGAAUUGAGCUGUCAGCAGCCCCCGCGGGAGUCCUGAACCUAUGCCUGACCCAGCAUGAGGCCACUCACUCCAGUCUGGAGUCCUCAGCCUGGCUGCCAGCAGGCCCGAUUAAAGUGUGGCUGGUACAAAGCCCAUGGAUAUAGGCCUUUAGACAAUCAUGUUAUUUAUAGCCUCAA